UCUGGAGAAAGACAAGCACAGCACAUGGUCUUAUCAGCCUCUCCAAGACCUGGCAAGCUUGAACCAGUGUUAAGCUGUUUAAGACAUUACUAUUAGCUGCCUCCUUGGUCACAGGCUUACAGUAGGGUUCACAAAAAAAAAAAAAAUUGAGAAGGAGAGAAAAAAAAAUAGGGACUUAGCAAGCUAAGCCAGAUUCUAUCUAAACAGGAAAAGGGUGGGGAGGAGGGAGGAAAGACAAAGAUGAGGAAGGACAAGACUGAGAGUGACACCAAGGGCACAAGUUUCAUAUUCUAACCAGCAUUCAGGAUUUAGCCAAAGCUCAUGGAGAAAAGGCUGCUGUUAAAUUCUUCCUCUACCUCUGUCUUGCUGGUCAGCCCAUCUUACCUGCUUCUCUGAUUUCUCAGCACCAGAACCAUGGAAAUAUAAAAGUAUCACUGCAGAUUCUGAGCUCCUGAAAUAUGGUGGGCCUGGCAGCUGAAAUGCAAAAUUAUACUGCUUUCCAUUUUGUUGUCCUCCCAGCGGUACUGUCAAACUAUCAACUGCUAAGUGUGGUGACUGGUAGAAUAUCCCAUCUUCUCAUCAUUUUAUUCAUCUGUUAAAGAAAAAGAAACUUUCAGGCUGGAUUGUUUUUGUUCACGAAAAUCAAGUACAGCAGCUCUACGUCCCAGGUUCUCAGGAUACCCUGAACUUACACUUUUCAGAACCUCAUUGGCCUCCACGCUUAUAUUUCUUGUCACUUCUCCCUGUCAACGUGAGCACCACUGCAGCUGGAGAAGGGCAGCUGAUACUAAAAGCUCUAAGGCUAAGCGGGUUGAAUCAUGAGAUUCCAGGAACUGUUGCUUCAGAAAAAGCUCGCAUUGUUGAAUUAACCUCUUCUCAUUUCCAUCGCUAUUUUAAAUGUUGUGGAAGCAUCUCUCAGCUCUACCACAGGUAGGUGUUACAGAUUAUAAAACUGAUAGUCAGAGAUAUUCCUUGCUUUAAAAGUUUACAAC
rnacentral:lncRNA from 1 species